rnacentral:rRNA from 1 species
ACGAACGCUGGCGGCGUGCUUCACACCUGCAAGUCGAACGGAAAGGCCCUGCUUUUGUGGGGUGCUCGAGUGGCGAACGGGUGAGUAACACGUGAGUAACCUGCCCUUGACUUUGGGAUAACUUCAGGAAACUGGGGCUAAUACCGGAUAGGAGCUCCUGCUGCAUGGUGGGGGUUGGAAAGUUUCGGCGGUUGGGGAUGGACUCGCGGCUUAUCAGCUUGUUGGUGGGGUAGUGGCUUACCAAGGCUUUGACGGGUAGCCGGCCUGAGAGGGUGACCGGCCACAUUGGGACUGAGAUACGGCCCAGACUCCUACGGGAGGCAGCAGUGGGGAAUAUUGCACAAUGGGCGGAAGCCUGAUGCAGCAACGCCGCGUGCGGGAUGACGGCCUUCGGGUUGGAAACCGCUUUCGCCUGUGACGAAGCGUGAGUGACGGUAAUGGGGAAAGAAGCACCGGCUAACUACGU